CAGCCGCCGCGGGAAUACGAAGGGGGCUAGCGUUGUUCGGAAUUACUGGGCGUAAAGCGCACGUAGGCGGAUAUUUAAGUCAGGGGUGAAAUCCCAAGGCUCAACCUUGGAACUGCCUUUGAUACUGUUUGUCUUGAGUUCGAGAGAGGUAAGUGGAACUGCGAGUGUAGAGGUGAAAUUCGUAGAUAUUCGCAAGAACACCAGUGGCGAAGGCGGCUUACUGGCUCGAAACUGACGCUGAGGCGCGAAAGCGUGGGGAGCAAACAGGAUUAGAUACCCGUGUAGUCCCUGUCUCUUAUAC
rnacentral:rRNA from 1 species